rnacentral:rRNA from 1 species
GACGAACGCUGGCGGCGUGCUUAACACAUGCAAGUCGAACGGAAAGGCCCUGCUUGCAGGGUACUCGAGUGGCGAACGGGUGAGUAACACGUGGGUGAUCUGCCCUGCACUUCGGGAUAAGCCUGGGCAACUGGGUCUAAUACCGGAUAGGAGCCAUUUUUAGUGUGAUGGUUGGAAAGUUUUUUCGGUGUAGGAUGAGCUCGCGGCCUAUCAGCUUGUUGGUGGGGUAAUGGCCUACCAAGGCGGCGACGGGUAGCCGGCCUGAGAGGGUGGACGGCCACAUUGGGACUGAGAUACGGCCCAGACUCCUACGGGAGGCAGCAGUGGGGAAUAUUGCACAAUGGGCGCAAGCCUGAUGCAGCGACGCCGCGUGGGGGAUGACGGCCUUCGGGUUGUAAACUACUUUCGCUAGGGACGAAGCUUUUUGUGACGGUACCUAGAUAAGAAGCACCGGCUAACUACGU